rnacentral:rRNA from 1 species
AUUGAACGCUGGCGGCAGGCCUAACACAUGCAAGUCGAGCGGAUGAAGGGAGCUUGCUCCUGGAUUCAGCGGCGGACGGGUGAGUAAUGCCUAGGAAUCUGCCUGGUAGUGGGGGAUAACGUCCGGAAACGGGCGCUAAUACCGCAUACGUCCUGAGGGAGAAAGUGGGGGAUCUUCGGACCUCACGCUAUCAGAUGAGCCUAGGUCGGAUUAGCUAGUUGGUGGGGUAAAGGCCUACCAAGGCGACGAUCCGUAACUGGUCUGAGAGGAUGAUCAGUCACCCUGAACCUGAGACCCGGUCCAGACUCCUAGGGGAGGCGGCGGUGGGAAAUAUUGGACAAUGGGCGAACGCCUGAUCCAGCCAUGCCGCGUGUGUGAAGAGGGUCUUCGGAUGGUAAAGCACUUUAAGUUGGAGGAAGGGCAGUAAGUUAAUACCUUGCUGUUUUGACGUUACCAACAGAAUAAGCACCGGCUAACUUCGUG